UCUGGUGUCCUAGGCAUAGAGGAACCACACCAAUCCAUCCCGAAUUUGGUGGUUAAACUCUACUGCGGUGAUGAUACUGUAGGGGAGGUCCUGUGGCAAAAUAGCUCGAUGCCAGAA
rfam:Triticum aestivum genome assembly, contig: Triticum_aestivum_CS42_TGACv1_scaffold_041475_1BL